rnacentral:rRNA from 1 species
CCUACGGGUGGCAGCAGUGAGGAAUAUUGGUCAAUGGGCUUACGCCUGAACCAGCCAAGUCGCGUGAGGGAAGACUGCCCUAUGGGUUGUAAACCUCUUUUGUCAGGGAGCAACGCCGGCUACGUGUAGCCGGACUGAGAGUCCCUGAAGAAAAAGCAUCGGCUAACUCCGUGCCAGCAGCCGCGGUAAUACGGAGGAUGCGAGCAUUAUCCGGAUUGAUUGGGUUUAAAGGGUGCGUAGGCGGAAUGCCGAGUCAGCGGUAAAAGCGCGAGGCUAAAACCCGCUCCGCCGUUGAAACUGGCGUUCUUGAGUGCGCGAGAGGUAUGCGGAAUGCGUGGUGUAGCGGUGAAAUGCAUAGAUAUCACGCAGAACUCCGAUUGCGAAGGCAGCAUACCGGCGCCCAACUGACGCUGAAGCACGAAAGCGUGGGUAUCGAACAGGAUUAGAUACCCGAGUAGUC